CCUACGGGAGGCAGCAGUGAGGAAUAUUGGGCAAUGGGCGCGAGCCGGAACCAGCCAAGUAGCGUGAAGGAUGACUGCCCUACGGGUUGUAAACUUCGGUUAUAAAGGAAUAAAGUGAGGCACGUGUGCCUUGUUGUAUGUACUUUAUGAAUAAGGAGCGGCUAACUCCGUGCCAGCAGCCGCGGUAAGACGGAGGAUCCGAGCUUUAUCCGGAUUUAUUGGGUUUAAAGGGAGCGUAGAUGGGUUGUUAAGUCAGUUGUGCAAGUUUGCGGCUCAACCGUAAAAUUGCCAUUGCUACUGGCAGCCUUGCGUACAGUUGAGGUAGGCGUACUUCGUGUUGUAGCGGUGACCUGCUUAGCUCUCAC
rnacentral:rRNA from 1 species